rnacentral:rRNA from 1 species
CCUACGGGUGGCAGCAGUGAGGAAUAUUGGUCAAUGGACGAGAGUCUGAACCAGCCAAGUAGCGUGAAGGAUGACUGCCCUAUGGGUUGUAAACUUCUUUUAUAUGGGAAUAAAAUGUUCCACGUGUGGGAUUUUGUAUGUAUCAUAUGAAUAAGGAUCGGCUAACUCCGUGCCAGCAGCCGCGGUAAUACGGAGGGUCCGAGCGUUAUCCGGAUUUAUUGGGUUUAAAGGGAGCGUAGGUGGGUUGUUAAGUCAGUUGUGAAAGUUUGCGGCUCAACCGUAGAAUUGCAGUUGAAACUGGCAGUCUUGAGUGCAGUAGAGGUGGGCGGAAUUCGUGGUGUAGCGGUGAAAUGCUUAGAUAUCACGAAGAACUCCGAUUGCGAAGGCAGUUCACUGGACUUCAACUGACACUGAGGCUCGAAAGUGUGGGUAUCAAACAGGAUUAGAUACCCGAGUAGUC